GGGUUGUGAGGUUAAGCGACUAAGCGUACACGGUGGAUGCCCUGGCAGUUAGAGGCGAUGAAGGACGUGCUAAUCUGCGAUAAGCGUCGGUAAGGUGAUAUGAACCGUUAUAACCGGCGAUUUCCGAAUGGGGAAACCCAGUGUGAUUCGUCACACUAUCAUUAACUGAAUCCAUAGGUUAAUGAGGCGAACCGGGGGAACUGAAACAUCUAAGUACCCCGAGGAA
rnacentral:rRNA from 1 species